UUUCAUUAUUUUGUGCUAUUUUAUUGGAUUAUAUAUACAAAAUCUGUAUUCUAUCAUAUGGAUUCAACACAUACAUAAUAUUUCAAGUAUUCUUAAUAAAAAUAGCUGAAAUUCAAAUUUAUAAAAUUUAAUAUAUGAUAUUGUGAAUAAAAUAUUUCUUAUACCUUUUAAAUAACAAAAAUAUCUAAAAAAUAAUAUAAAAGAAAAUUUUGUAUACCAUAAAUUUUAAAAAUAUUAAUUAUUUUAAAAAUAUUAAUUUGCCAAUACAAUUACAAACAAAUUUAAGGUUUUUUUGUUGCCAAAAUAUCAAAUCCCGCUCGAAGUGCGGGCUUCCUCUAGUUUUAUUAUAAACUUAGACUUAAAAUUUUAUAUAUUAUAAACAAAAUUUUACAUUUUACGUCAGAAACCUUUUUGUAUCACACUUAUCUUUGUGGUCAUUAAAUUUCAAAUUAAAAAAAAA
rnacentral:lncRNA from 1 species